rnacentral:rRNA from 1 species
GUUUUCGGAUCGUAAAGCUCUGUUGUUAAGGGAAGAACAAGUACCGUUCGAAUAGGGCCGGUACCUUGACCGGUACCUAACCAGAAAGCCACGGCUAACUACGUGCCAGCAGCCGCGGUAAUACGUAGGUGGCAAGCGUUGUCCGGAAUUAUUGGGCGUAAAGGGCUCGCAGGCGGUUUCUUAAGUCUGAUGUGAAAGCCCCCGGCUCAACCGGGGAGGGUCAUUGGAAACUGGGGAACUUGAGUGCAGAAGAGGAGAGUGGAAUUCCCACGUGUAGCGGUGAAAUGCGUAGAGAUGUGGAGGAACACCAGUGGCGAAGGCGACUCUCUGGUCUGUAACUGACGCUGAGGAGCGAAAGCGUGGGGAGCGAACAGGAUUAGAUACCCUGGUAGUCCACGCCGUACACGAUGAGUGCUAAGUGUUAGGAGGGUUUCCGCUCCCUUAGUGCUGCAGCUAACGCAUUAAGCACUCCGACCUGGGGAGUACGGUCGCAAGACUGAAACUCAAAGGAAUUGACGGGGGCCCGCACCAGCGGUGGAGCAUGUAGUUUAGUUCGAAAGCUAGCGCGCAAAAACUUACCACGUCUGGACGUCAUCUGACAAUCCUAGAGAUAGGACGUCCCCU